rnacentral:rRNA from 1 species
UACAUGGGGUGCAAACGUUGCUCGGAAUUAUUGGGCGUAAAGGGUGCGCAGGUGGUUAUGUAAGUCUGGUGUGAAAUUUUUGGGCUCAACCCAAAAAGGUCAUUGGAAACUGCAUAACUUGAGAGCAGGAGAGGUAAGUGGAAUUCCUAGUGUAGCGGUGAAAUGCGUAGAGAUUAGGAGGAACACCAGUGGCGAAGGCGGCUUACUGGACUGUAUCUGACACUGAGGCACGAAAGCGUGGGUAGCAAACAGG